rnacentral:rRNA from 1 species
UACGUAGGGGGCAAGCGUUGUCCGGAAUCAUUGGGCGUAAAGAGCGUGUAGGCGGCCAGCUAAGUCCGCUGUGAAAUCUCGAGGCUCAACUUCGAGCUGUCGGUGGAAACUGUCUGGCUAGAGUCCGGAAGAGGAGAAUGGAAUUCCUGGUGUAGCGGUGAAAUGCGCAGAUAUCAGGAAGAACACCCGUGGCGAAGGCGGUUCUCUGGGCAACAACUGACGCUGAGGCGCGACAGCGUGGGGAGCAAACAGG